GAACUAAGAACCUCCGUUCAGGUUUCAGCCCCUCCGCUACUUCCUCGACCCUCUUCCUCGCCAGGAACCUUCUUCCUCUUUCUUUGUGGAUACCUCCAUCUCUUCCUGCUCACUGUUGAUGAGGGCAUCACCGGCUACCAUGAUGACUCCCUUAGAACUGUUCACAGAAACAAAAUUCAGUAUAGAUUGCCUCUCAAGGUUGUCUCUUACAAGGAUCUCUAUGGUUGUAUAAGCCGCUUCAGUUCCUCCGAGAUCCUCCUCGGCGCCAUGAUUCUCCCUGCUUUUCUACUAUCUUGACGCAAUUAUCAAAAGGAUUCUCAAUUUGUUCUGCUGCACCGCACUCCACUUCGCUUUUUGGAUUGGAAUUUAGGGUUUGGCUUGUGCACCCAUCUUCUACGGUGCUCCUUUUUAACUCAAUUGAAGUUGUAAACCUUUUCCUUUUAAUUUUCUCUUUUCUCAACAUUCAAAGUUUCUUCGUUUGCUUUUCUCUGCUAAUGGCUUGUCGGCAAUGAUUAUUGUUUCCAAUGGAGGAAAGUGGAUUAUUUUUGGAAUUGAAGUUAGUUUCAGCCAUGGCUCUUGAUAAGCUCCUAGUUAAAGGAAACUACAUUGGAAGCGUCAACUUCCUCUUUUCUGGAGAAGGAAAGGGAACUGCAGUCCAAAAUUGAGGAACUGGAGGACAAGGUUGAGGAAUUCAGUCAGAGCAUUGCACUGCAAAAGGACAUUAAACAAUCUUAAAUAUUGAACAUUCAUUGGGAUUCUAGCUUCCUCACUGUUCUCCUACAAGACCAUGUUGGUGGACUUCAAUUUUUCUAUGAAAACAAGUGGAGUGAUACAAAUUGUUUUAUCAGUUCACAAAUUGUUUUAUCAAGUUAUGAAUAGAAGAGUUUAAGAGGAUCAAUCUUCACCAAAUAUUAUUCCUGUUCACUUAUUUAGUUGCAUAAUAUUUACGAAACAUUGUGACAAUUCAUCAAAUGACAUGAUUCCAGUAUGAAAUUGAUACUAGUGACCAUUAACAACAAUCUGGGCAUGCGUCUGUUUUAUGCAAUUGGUGGGUUUGCAAAGGUUCAAGAGGUCUGUGUAAUACAAAGAUUCUUUUAUGUGA